UUGGAGGGCAAGUCUGGUGCCAGCAGCCGCGGUAAUUCCAGCUCCAAUAGCGUAUAUUAAAGUUGUUGCAGUUAAAAAGCUCGUAGUUGAAUUUCGGGAUCAAUUUAUCGGUCGUGCCUAUGGUAUGAACUGGUACAAUUGGUUUCUCCCUUCUGACGAAGCAUGAUGUCAUUAAUUUGGUGUCGUGGGGAAUCAGGACUGUUACUUUGAAAAAAUUGGAGUGUUUAAAGCAAGCAUUAGCUUGAAUACAUUAGCAUGGAAUAAUGAAAUAGGACGUUUGAUCCUAUUUCGUUGGUUUCUAGGAUCGACGUAAUGAUUAAUAGGGAUAGUUGGGGGCAUUAGUAUUCAAUUGUCAGAGGUGAAAUUCUUGGAUUUAUUGAAGACUAACUACUGCGAAAGCAUUUGCCAAGGAUGUUUUUAUUAAUCAAGAACGAAAGUUAGGGGAUCGAAGACGAUCAGAUACCGUCGUAGUCUUAACCAUAAACUAUGCCGACUAGGGAUCGGAUGAUGUUAAUUUUUUAAGGACUCAUUCGGCGCCUUACGGGAAAC
rnacentral:rRNA from 1 species